CCAAGAUUACCAGGCAAGUCAGGGCAGGACCCAGAGCAUUGCCUCCCAGGCCUGGGAACUCCCAUUGCCAGAAGGUUGAGGGGCUUUAUGUAAAGACGGGAAGGAAGUCAUUCCUAAAGUCAGAGAUGGAGGCUGGGGAGGUUCUUGACUCAGAAGGAAUGAUGACAUUCCCAUGAGGUAUCCCAGGGCCAGUCCUCAUUGGGAAGUCUGCUUAUUCCUGGAUCUGUGCGAGGCCAAAGAAGCAUCUUUGACAAUGACUGUGGGAGAGAAGACCUCUCCUUUGGGAGAAAAGACUCUCCUCCUGACAGUAAGGGAUAUCUGGAAGGUUUCUCUGUAAGUUAGACUA